rnacentral:lncRNA from 1 species
GUUGGGGAUCCUAGGAGUUCAAACAACCAAAACAACAAUCAACAAACAAGAUUCAAGGCAAAAACAAGAAAAAACGGGAAUGGAAAAAUACAACCCUUUCUGGCCGAAAAUCUGUCCAGCUUUUCUGCUUCGUUUCAGCAGCUUCUUCUUCGAUUUAUGGGUGUUUUUCCAGGCUCAGGAACAGCCCCAUGUUAUGCCAAUUGCCUUCCAAAGAGAGAGGGGAAAAACCAAUGAAGAACCACCACCCUUUUCAAUGAAAAACCGAGAGCUCCUCACUCUGCUGGGAAUCCUCAAAAACGUGAGCUGCCCAUCCCUUUAUUUGAAAAUUGUAGAGCGUACAUAAUGAAGGGGUAGGAAGAAAGACCAUGCCUCUGCCAAAAGAAGGGAAGACCUUAUUGUGUCAACCUCACUCCCAUCAAGUCACAACAUUAGGUGGUGGGGUUAGGUGAACCAUAUCCUCACAUUCUUCACCUUGGUUCUCCUAACACUCUCUCUUGGUUGCGAAUUUGCACAUGGAAGAACUGUUCAUCAUCAUCGCCCACCACCUACAAGAAAAAUUAAC